rnacentral:tRNA from 1 species
GCUUUCGUGGUGUAAUGGUCAUCACACUGAGCCGGUAUUUCAGAGGUCCGUGGUUCGAUCCCCGGCGAAGGCA